GUCAACUACGGUCUGUGUGAGAGGCUGGGCAUCAAGAGGAGCCUGUGCUCCCCUUAUCAUCCACAGACCAAAUUGAAUGGCAUGAUACAGAGGUCCCUGAACAAACUGGUGGCUGAGCACCGCAACCGUUGGGACCAGUAUCUCCUGUCAACCAUGUUUGCCCUGAGGACCAAGAAGCAGCUGAUGACACAAUACAGCCCCUAUUACCUGAUGUUUUGGAGGGAGGCCAGGUAUCCCUUGGGGCCAUAUGAAAUAUAUUCUGAGGACAUUUUGUACCUGGCCCCAGGAAAGGAGCUGGAGAGUCAGCUGGCCCUUGACUGUGAUGUGGCAGCGGGAGCAGUCUGUCAUGGAGGACACUGGACACUCAUUAUCAUGUACCUUAAGGAGAUGAGGUCCUUGUACGUGGAUCCAUUUGGGGCAAAUUGAGAAGUGCAAACAUGUAACAAGGGCACUGGUUUGCCAAAAGCGUCCUGCCAUUGGGAGAUGGGCAUGUUCUACAGUGGCCCAUCCAAGACAACAGGACACAACGUCAUGCAGCGUGUUUGUGUGCAAGACUCGACCGAUGCCUCUCCUCCUCAAACCGGCAGCAGUGGAGCACCACCCAAGGAACGGAGGAGACAGUGUGAUCUUCAGCAGAUACUGCUGCAGAAGGAGAACAUCAAAGUGGAAGCUGAAACCAAAAAAUUACAGACUGAACAGGAAAAGUUGGAGUUGGAAAAAGAGAAAUUAAAGUUGGAGAUACAGUUGCUCCAACAACAAGUUAUUAGGCCGUCAUCUCGCAUUUCUGAAGAGGAGGUGCGGUCCUACGUGGAUUUGAAUUAGCCUAUAGUGUCCCAAUAACACAAUGUAAUGUAGACAAUCGCAUAUUUAUUUAGCAACAUUGGUGUAUAAAAAACGCUAAUAAAAAAAUAUUUAUUUUCAAACAUUGGUGUAUAUUAAUAAUAUAAUAAUUACAU